rnacentral:rRNA from 1 species
AGUUGCCAGCAUUCAGUUGGGCACUCUAAGGUGACUGCCGGCUAAAAGUCGGAGGAAGUGGGGAUGACGUCAAAUCAUCAUGCCCCUUAUGACCUGGGCUACACACGUGCUACAAUGGGCGGUACAAAGGGUCGCGAACCCGCGAGGGGGAGCCAAUCCCAAAAAGCCGCUCUCAGUUCGGAUUGCAGGCUGCAACUCGCCUGCAUGAAGCCGGAAUCGCUAGUAAUCGCGGAUCAGCAUGCCACGGUGAAUACGUUCCCGGGCCUU